rnacentral:rRNA from 1 species
CGUAUUAUUAAAGUUGUUGCAGUUAAAAAGCUCGUAGUUGAAUUUCUGAUUAUGGAUGUAGUCGGUUUCCGUUACAUUUGUAGUCAUCCACAUGAGAACCUUUCUCGGCCUUCACUGGUCGGUUGGGGGAUCAUGUACUUUACUUUGAAAAAAUCAGAGUGUUUCAGGCAGGCGUUUGCAUGAAUACACAAGCAUGGAAUAAUGGAAUAGGACUAGGGUCCAUUUUAUUGGUUAUUGGACCAUAGUAAUGAUUAAUAGGGACAGUUGGGGGCAUUAGUAUUUAAUUGUCAGAGGUGAAAUUCUUGGAUUUAUUAAAGACUAACUUAUGCGAAAGCAUUUGCCAAGGAUGUUUUCAUUAAUCAAGAACGAAAGUUAGGGGAUCAAAGACGAUCAGAUACCGUCCUAGUCUUAACUAUAAACUAUACCGACUAGGGAUUGGUUGGGGUCAUUAGAGCCCAAUCAGCACCUUAUGAGAAAUCAAAGUCUUUGGGUUCUGGG